AGAGUUUGAUCCUGGCUCAGGAUGAACGCUGGCGGCGUGCUUAACACAUGCAAGUCGAACGGUGAACACGGAGCUUGCUCUGUGGGAUCAGUGGCGAACGGGUGAGUAACACGUGAGCAACCUGCCCCUGACUCUGGGAUAAGCGCUGGAAACGGCGUCUAAUACUGGAUAUGUGACGUGACCGCAUGGUCUGCGUUUGGAAAGAUUUUUCGGUUGGGGAUGGGCUCGCGGCCUAUCAGCUUGUUGGUGAGGUAAUGGCUCACCAAGGCGUCGACGGGUAGCCGGCCUGAGAGGGUGACCGGCCACACUGGGACUGAGACACGGCCCAGACUCCUACGGGAGGCAGCAGUGGGGAAUAUUGCACAAUGGGCGAAAGCCUGAUGCAGCAACGCCGCGUGAGGGAUGACGGCCUUCGGGUUGUAAACCUCUUUUAGCAGGGAAGAAGCGAAAGUGACGGUACCUGCAGAAAAAGCGCCGGCUAACUACGUGCCAGCAGCCGCGGUAAUACGUAGGGCGCAAGCGUUAUCCGGAAUUCUUGGGCGUAAAGAGCUCGUAGGCGGUUUGUCGCGUCUGCUGUGAAAUCCCGAGGCUCAACCUCGGGCCUGCAGUGGGUACGGGCAGACUAGAGUGCGGUAGGGGAGAUUGGAAUUCCUGGUGUAGCGGUGGAAUGCGCAGAUAUCAGGAGGAACACCGAUGGCGAAGGCAGAUCUCUGGGCCGUAACUGACGCUGAGGAGCGAAAGGGUGGGGAGCAAACAGGCUUAGAUACCCUGGUAGUCCACCCCGUAAACGUUGGGAACUAGUUGUGGGGUCCAUUCCACGGAUUCCGUGACGCAGCUAACGCAUUAAGUUCCCCGCCUGGGGAGUACGGCCGCAAGGCUAAAACUCAAAGGAAUUGACGGGGACCCGCAC
rnacentral:rRNA from 1 species